UACGGAGGGUGCAAGCGUUAUCCGGAUUCACUGGGUUUAAAGGGUGCGUAGGUGGGCAGGUAAGUCAGUGGUGAAAUCCCUCGGCUUAACCGGGGAACUGCGUCUGAUACUGGAUGGCUUGAGUUUGGGAGAGGGACGCGGAAUCCAGGUGUAGCGGUGAAAGUCGUAGAUAUCUGGAGGGAACACCGGUGCGGAAGGCGGCGUCCUGGACCGAC
rnacentral:rRNA from 1 species